rnacentral:rRNA from 1 species
CAAGUCGUACGAGAGUUUUUAACUCAAGUGGCGGACGGGUGAGUAACACGUAAGAAUUUGCCUUUAGGAGGGGGACAACAACUGGAAACGGCUGCUAAUACCCCAUAUGCUUUCGAGUGAAAUGGAUUUUUCCGCCUAAAGAGAAGCUUGCGGCUGAUUAGCUUGUUGGUGAGGUAAUGGCUCACCAAGGCGACGAUCAGUAUCUGGUUUGAGAGGACGAUCAGACACACUGGAACUGAGACACGGUCCAGACUCCUACGGGAGGCAGCAGUGGGGAAUUUUCCGCAAUGGGCGAAAGCCUGACGGAGCAAUACCGCGUGAGGGAUGACGGCCUAUGGGUUGUAAACCUCUUUUUUCAGGGAGGAAUCAAAUGACGUGUACCUGAAGAAUAAGCAUCGGCUGACUCCGUGCCAGCAGCCGCGGUAAGACGGAGGAUGCAAGUGUUAUCCGGAAUCACUGGGCGUAAAGCGUCUGUAGGUGGUCCAAUAAGUCAACUGUUAAAUCUUGAGGCUCAACCUCAAAAUCGCAGUCGAAACUAUUAGACUAGAGUAUAGUAGGGGUAAAGGGAAUUUCCAGUGGAGCGGUGAAAUGCGUAGAGAUUGGAAAGAACACCGAUGGCGAAGGCACUUUACUGGGCUAUUACUAACACUCAGAGACGAAAGCUAGGGUAGCAAAUGGGAUUAGAUACCCCAGUAGUCCUAGCCGUAAACAAUGGAUACUAGAUGUUGAACAGAUCGACCUGUGCAGUAUCAAAGCUAACGCGUUAAGUAUCCCGCCUGGGAAGUAUGCUCGCAAGAGUGAAACUCAAAGGAAUUGACGGGGGCCCGCACAAGCGGUGGAGCAUGUGGUUUA